AACGAACGCUGGCGGCAUGCCUAACACAUGCAAGUCGAACGAGACCUUCGGGUCUAGUGGCGCACGGGUGCGUAACGCGUGGGAACCUGCCCUUAGGUUCGGAAUAACUCCCCGAAAGGGGUGCUAAUACCGGAUAAUGUCUUCGGACCAAAGAUUUAUCGCCUUUGGAUGGGCCCGCGUUGGAUUAGCUAGUUGGUAGGGUAAAAGCCUACCAAGGCGACGAUCCAUAGCUGGUCUGAGAGGAUGAUCAGCCACACUGGGACUGAGACACGGCCCAGACUCCGACGGGAGGCAGCAGUGGGGAAUAUUGGACAAUGGGCGAAAGCCUGAUCCAGCAAUGCCGCGUGAGUGAUGAAGGCCUUAGGGUUGUAAAGCUCUUUUACCCGGGAUGAUAAGGACAGUACCGGGAGAAUAAGCUCCGGCUAACUCCGG
rnacentral:rRNA from 1 species